rnacentral:lncRNA from 1 species
GGAGGUUAGCCGGCUGAGGGGGAAGCAAGAAAACACUGCAUAUACAAGGAAGUGUGAGCAAGGGUUGCUGUAAUACGUUAUAUCCUGUGGCAAUGUUCGUCAAUCCAUAAAUAAACACACCCAGCUGACUUUCUCCAGCUCUAUCUCACAAUCCUCACAGUUCGGUGGAGAUGUGUAAAGGAUGGCAACAGUUGCAUUCUUUCUUAUGCACAUUGGGUAGAAGAAAAAGAACUUUCCUCAACACUCUUCCAGAUAAGCAAAAAGUAACUUUUUCAGCCAUCCUCAAUAAAUGAGUCUUUUCUGUCUCAUCUGUCAAGUUGUGGCAUAUG